UGCCGCGUAGUGUAAUGGUAACACGAGAGAUUCUGACUCUCUUAUUUCAGGUUCGAGUCCUGGCGCGGUAGCCA
rnacentral:tRNA from 1 species